rnacentral:rRNA from 1 species
GAUGAACGCUGGCGGCGUGCCUAAUACAUGCAAGUCGAGCGAACAGAUGAGGAGCUUGCUCCUCUGACGUUAGCGGCGGACGGGUGAGUAACACGUGGAUAACCUACCUAUAAGACUGGGAUAACUUCGGGAAACCGGAGCUAAUACCGGAUAAUAUAUUGAACCGCAUGGUUCAAUAGUGAAAGACGGUUUUGCUGUCACUUAUAGAUGGAUCCGCGCGGCAUUAGCUAGUUGGUAAGGUAACGGCUUACCAAGGCAACGAUGCGUAGCCGACCGGAGAGGGUGAUCGGCCACACUGGAACUGAGACACGGUCCAGACUCCUACGGGAGGCAGCAGUAGGGAAUCUUCCGCAAUGGGCGAAAGCCUGACGGAGCAACGCCGCGUGAGUGAUGAAGGUCUUCGGAUCGUAAAACUCUGUUAUUAGGGAAGAACAAAUGUGUAAGUAACUAUGCACGUCUUGACGGUACCUAAUCAGAAAGCCACGGCUAACUACGUG